rnacentral:rRNA from 1 species
CGAACGGGUGCGUAACACGUGAGCAACCUACCGAUUUGUGGGGGAUAGCCGGCCCAACGGCCGGGUAAUACCGCAUACGCUUGCUCGGGGACAUCCCUGGGCAAGGAAACCUCCGGGGCAAAUCGAGGGGCUCGCGGCCUAUCAGCUAGUUGGCGAGGUCACGGCUCACCAAGGCGACGACGGGUAGCUGGUCUGAGAGGAUGGCCAGCCACAUUGGGACUGAGAUACGGCCCAG